GGGGGGCCUACUGGCAGUCGAACGAUUAGGCCGGCUUCGGCCGGGGAUAGAGUGGCGAACGGGUGAGUAACACGUGACCAACCUGCCCCUUGCUCCGGGACAACCGCUGGAAACGGCGGCUAAUACCGGAUACUCCGCGGGCCCCGCAUGGGGCCGGCGGGAAAGCCCCGACGGCAAGGGAUGGGGUCGCGGCCCAUUAGGUAGUAGGCGGGGUAACGGCCCACCUAGCCCGCGAUGGGUAGCCGGCCUGAGAGGGCGAUCGGCCACAUUGGGACUGAGAUACGGCCCAGACUCCUACGGGAGGCAGCAGUGGGGAAUUUUGCGCAAUGGGGGAAACCCUGACGCAGCAACGCCGCGUGCGGGAUGACGGCCCUCGGAUUGUAAACCGCUUUCAGCAGGGAAGAUAUUGACGGUACCUGCAGAAGAAGCUCCGGCUAACUACGUGCCAGCAGCCGCGGUAAUACGUAGGGAGCGAGCGUUAUCCGGAUUCAUUGGGCGUAAAGCGCGCGUAGGCGGCUGCCUAAGCGGAACCUCUAACCCCGGGGCUCAACCUCGGGCCGGGUUCCGAACUGGGCGGCUCGAGUGCGGUAGAGGAGAGCGGAAUUCCCGGUGUAGCGGUGGAAUGCGCAGAUAUCGGGAAGAACACCGGUGGCGAAGGCAGCUCUCUGGGCCGGCACUGACGCUGAGGCGCGAAAGCUGGGGGAGCGAACAGGAUUAGAUACCCUGGUAGUCCACGCCGUAAACGAUGAG
rnacentral:rRNA from 1 species